UUCUCCUGGUGUCGGCUCAGGUCAUGUUCAGAACUUGGAAGAGGAAACCUCUCACUUGAUGAUUCCUGAGAACAACAUGAUGUUCUUUACAGAACAACAUGGCAGCAUCCAGGACACUUCAGAGUUGGACUGGGAAAUAAAAUUCCAUUUUAGCCCGUGGAAGUUUCCCUUUGUGUAAGUGCAGAGCUAAAAGCCCGUUAAAAGCUUAACAAAUAUAAAGCUGUGCCUUUAUGAGGAAUAGACAUCAUAUUCUGCACACCGGACAUCCUCAGCAAACAAACAGACAGUGGACGUCUUCCCUAAUGCCCCGGGGCUUGUUUGAAGAGCGUUACUUCAUGGGUGUCUCCAUUUAACUGACACUAAACCAGCUCAAAUCAUUGAUAGGUGUCACUUUGAACACACUCGCACAGAUGUGGUGUCGAUGUGUGGAAACAGAAAGAGAGAGGGAGAGAGGGAUAGAGAGUAAGAAAGAAAGUGAAGGAGCCCUGAUUUUGGAAUGAAUCCUGUUUAUAUACUGAAUUUACUGAGGAUAUAAAGGACAUACUUUUAUAUAUAUAUACUGUAUAUAUACAUAUAUAUAGAUGUAUAGAUAAGUCAUGAAAGAAGAUGUAAUCAAGCAGAACUCACUUUUAGAAUUAAAACAGAAAACAUGAUCACGUUAUCUCAUCUGUCUGUUUUCAUGAUCAAAUCAAACUAUGCAACAAAGCAUCAGAUUCAUUAACUUUGUCAAAACCGAAAUGUUUCAAGUGAAUUUAACUAUUUGUGACUGUGUGUGUGUGACCUGCAACAUUACUGUGAUCGGUUGUGUUGCCUCUAUUUGCAGCAUGUGGGUGGAUCUGGUUGUGUUUUCUAACUAUUGUCGUUAAUUUGACUGUUUUAUUCUCAUUGUAACAUUGUUAAGGAAAGUUCUGAAUAAAGUUUAUUUGUGUCAUAAA